UGCUGCCUAUCCCUACCUCCGUGUGGUAUCGGCUGGAAACUAUGAGCAACCUUAGGGAAAAUCGGGUAACUAAUCCCGAUGGGGACUUUGGUCGUAGGCUAACAGGGAAGG
rnacentral:ribozyme from 1 species